GAUGAACGCUGGCGGCGUGCCUAAUACAUGCAAGUCGAGCGAACGGACGGGAAGCUUGCUUCUCUGAUGUUAGCGGCGGACGGGUGAGUAACACGUGGAUAACCUACCUAUAAGACUGGGAUAACUUCGGGAAACCGGAGCUAAUACCGGAUAAUAUUUUGAACCGCAUGGUUCAAAAGUGAAAGACGGUCUUGCUGUCACUUAUAGAUGGAUCCGCGCUGCAUUAGCUAGUUGGUAAGGUAACGGCUUACCAAGGCAACGAUGCAUAGCCGACCUGAGAGGGUGAUCGGCCACACUGGAACUGAGACACGGCCCAGACUCCUACGGGAGGCAGCAGUGGGGAAUAUUGCACAAUGGGCGGAAGCCUGAUGCAGCGACGCCGCGUGGGGGAUGACGGCCUUCGGGUUGUAAACUCCUUUCACCAUCGACGAAGGGUUUCUGACGGUAGAUGGAGAAGAAGCACCGGCUAACUACGUGCCAGCAGCCGCGGUAAUACGUAGGGUGCGAGCGUUGUCCGGAAUUACUGGGCGUAAAGAGCUCGUAGGUGGUUUGUCGCGUCGUCUGUGAAAUUCCGGGGCUUAACUCCGGGCGUGCAGGCGAUACGGGCAUAACUUGAGUACUGUAGGGGAGACUGGAAUUCCUGGUGUAGCGGUGAAAUGCGCAGAUAUCAGGAGGAACACCGGUGGCGAAGGCGGGUCUCUGGGCAGUAACUGACGCUGAGGAGCGAAAGCAUGGGGAGCGAACAGGAUUAGAUACCCUGGUAGUCCAUGCCGUAAACGGUGGGCGCUAGGUGUGGGUUUCCUUCCACGGGAUCCGUGCCGUAGCUAACGCAUUAAGCGCCCCGCCUGGGGAGUACGGCCGCAAGGCUAAAACUCAAAGGAAUUGACGGGGGCCCGCACAAGCGGCGGAGCAUGUGGAUUAAUUCGAUGCAACGCGAAGAACCUUACCUGGGCUUGACAUAUACAGGAUCGCGCCAGAGAUGGUGUUUCCCUUGUGGCUUGUAUACAGGUGGUGCAUGGUUGUCGUCAGCUCGUGUCGUGAGAUGUUGGGUUAAGUCCCGCAACGAGCGCAACCCUUGUCUUAUGUUGCCAGCACGUUGUGGUGGGGACUCGUAAGAAACUGCCGGGGUUAACUCGGAGGAAGGUGGGGAUGACGUCAAAUCAUCAUGCCCCUUAUGUCCAGGGCUUCACACAUGCUACAAUGGUCGGUACAGUGGGUUGCCAGUCCGUGAGGGCGAGCUAAUCCCGCAAAGCCGGUCUCAGUUCGGAUCGGGGUCUGCAACUCGACCCCGUGAAGUCGGAGUCGCUAGUAAUCGCAGAUCAGCAACGCUGCGGUGAAUACGUUCCCGGGCCU
rnacentral:rRNA from 1 species